rnacentral:tRNA from 2 species
GGGGUCUUAGCUCAGUUGGUAGAGCGCCUGCUUUGCAAGCAGGAUGUCAACGGUUCGACUCCGUUAGACUCCACCA